rnacentral:rRNA from 1 species
CCCUGCUGUGCGGGGAGUGGAUAAGGCUUCAUGGGCUGGUAAAUCCCGUUUCUCUUCCAAUGGAUACGAAGCCCAAUGACGGUACUUGACGGAAUAAGCAUUCGCCUAACGGCCGUGCCCGCAAGCCGCCGGUAUAUACAGAAGGAGGAGAGCCGAAAUUCCUGAAAUGAUUGGGGGGUAAAGGCGUCGCGUAGGUGGCUGUUUCAAAUAUUGCUGUCAUAAGAACAGCGGCUCACUAACUUGAAAGGCAGUGGAAACUGAGCAGCUAGAGUAGUGGUAGGGGGACAGAAGGGAGUUCUCCGGUGCCGCGGUGAAAUGCGUAGAUAUCGGGAAGAAACACCGGUGGCGAAAGCGCUCUGCUGGGAAAGUAACUGACACUGAGGGACGAAAGAUAGGGGAGCGAAUGGGGUUUAGAUACCGCCAGUAGUCCUAGCCGUAAACGAUGGAAACUAGGUGUAGCCCCUAUCGACCCGCGUCUGUGCCGAAGCUAACGCGUUAAGUUUUCCGCCUGCGGAGUACGCACGCAAGUGUGAAACUCAAAGGAAUUGACGGGGGCCCGCACAAGCGGUGGAGUAUGUGGUUAAAUUCGAUGCAACGCGAAGAACCUUACCAGGGCUUGAUAUGUCCGGAAUCUUUGUGAAAGCCGAGAGUGCCUUUGGGAGCAGGAACACACGGUGGUGCAUGGCUGUUGUCAGAUCGUGUCUUGAGAUGUUGGGUUAAGUCCCGCAAGAGCGCAUACCCUCGUGGCUUAGUUGCCAUCAUUCAGUUGGGCACUUUAGGGAGACUGCCGGUGACACCGGAGGAAGGUGGGGAUGAGAUCAAGUCAUCAUGCCCCUUACGUCCUGGGCUACACACGUACUACUUUGGGGGGGACAAAGGGUAGCCAAGACGCGAGUCUGAGCCAAUCGCCGUAAACCUCUCCUCAGUUCAGAUUGCAGGCUGCAAUUUCGUGCAUGAAGGAGGAAUCGCUAGUAAAAUCAGGUCUGCACCCUGCGGGGAAUCCGUUUUCCGGCCUUGUGUAGACCCCCCCUCUCACCAUGGAAGUUAGCCACGCCCCGAGGUGGUGGCUCAAUCACCUUCGCGAGGAUU